UUGGCUCGAGUGGCGAACGGGUGAGUAACACGUGAGUAACCUGCCCUUGACUUUGGGAUAACUUCAGGAAACUGGGGCUAAUACCGGAUAGGAGCUCCUGCUGCAUGGUGGGGUUGGAAAGUUUCGGCGGUUGGGGAUGGACUCGCGGCUUAUCAGCUUGUUGGUGGGGUAGUGGCUUACCAAGGCUUUGACGGGUAGCCGGCCUGAGAGGGUGACCGGCCACAUUGGGACUGAGAUACGGCCCAG
rnacentral:rRNA from 1 species